AACGAACGCUGGCGGCAGGCUUAACACAUGCAAGUCGAACGCCCCGCAAGGGGAGUGGCGCACGGGUGAGUAACGCGUGGAUAUCUGCCUUUUGGUUCGGAAUAACCCCGGGAAACUGGGGCUAAUACCGGAUGGUUCCUACGGGAUAAAGAUUUAUCGCCAAAAGAUGAGUCCGCGUACGAUUAGCUAGUUGGUGAGGUAAUGGCUCACCAAGGCGACGAUCGUUAGCUGAUCUGAGAGGACGAUCAGCCACACUGGGACUGAGACACGGCCCAGACUCCUACGGGAGGCAGCAGUGGGGAAUAUUGGACAAUGGGGGCAACCCUGAUCCAGCCAUGCCGCGUGAGUGAUGAAGGCCUUCGGGUUGUAAAGCUCUUUUGGCGGGGACGAUGAUGACGGUACCCGCAGAAUAAGCCCCGGCUAACUUCGUGCCAGCAGCCGCCGCCGUAA
rnacentral:rRNA from 1 species